GAUGAACGCUGGCGGCGUGCUUAACACAUGCAAGUCGAACGGAAAGGCCCAAGCUUGCUUGGGUACUCGAGUGGCGAACGGGUGAGUAACACGUGGGUGAUCUGCCCUGCACUUCGGGAUAAGCCUGGGAAACUGGGUCUAAUACCGGAUAGGACCACAUUUUGGAUGGUGUGGUGGAAAGUUUUUCGGUGUGGGAUGAGCUCGCGGCCUAUCAGCUUGUUGGUGGGGUAAUGGCCUACGAAGGCGUCGACGGGUAGCCGGCCUGAGAGGGUGUACGGCCACAUUGGGACUGGGAAACGGCCCAGGCUCCUACGGGAGGCAGCAGUGGGGAAUAUUGCACAAUGGGCGCAGGCCUGAUGCAGCGACGCCGCGUGGGGGAUGACGGCCUGCGGGUUGGAAACUCCUUUCGCUAGGGACGAAGCGCAAGUGACUGUACCUGGAGAAGAAGCACCGGCUAACUACGU
rnacentral:rRNA from 1 species